rnacentral:rRNA from 1 species
ACGGGUGAGUAACACGUGGGUAACCUGCCUUGGGGAUCGGGAUAACUGGCCGAAAGGCCCGCUAAUACCGGAUGAGACCACAUGAGCUACGGCUCAAGGGGUCAAAGUCGGCCUCUCAACGAAGCCGGCACCACAAGAUGGGCCCGCGGACCAUUAGCUAGUUGGUAGGGUAAUGGCCUACCAAGGCUGAGAUGGUUAGCUGGUCUGAGAGGAUGAUCAGCCACACUGGAACUGAGAUACGGUCCAGACUCCUACGGGAGGCAGCAGUGAGGAAUAUUGCGCAAUGGAGGAAACUCUGACGCAGCAACGCCGCGUGGGUGAAGAAGGCUUUCGGGUUGUAAAGCCCUGUCAGGCGGGAAGAAACUUCCGCAGGUGAACAGUCUGUGGAACUGACGGUACCGCCAAAGGAAGCACCGGCUAACUCCGUGCCAGCAGCCGCGGUAAGACGGAGGGUGCAAGCGUUGUUCGGAAUUACUGGGCGUAAAGCGCGUGUAGGCGGUCCGAUAAGUCGAGUGUGAAAGCCCGAGGCCCAACCUCGGAAGUGCAUUCGAAACUGUCGGGCUUGAGUACGGGAGAGGGAAG